rnacentral:lncRNA from 1 species
GGGGCAUUUGAACUCCGCCGCUGUCUGUCUCGCGCUCCCCUCUGUGCCCCGCGCACCUCUGUCCCCCCGCCCGGCCCGCGCUCCCGGGCGCGCUUGCUCGCUCUCCCCGCUACCCGAGGAGUCCUCAACAAGUUGGAAGAAGGCAGGAGCGCAGGGGUUAAGCUCGGGAAGCCGCAAUUACCAAGAUCGUGACCCUCCCACACAGUACAGUAACUUAUAUACUUACCUGGAAGAGCCCGCUUUGCCGCGGGGCAAACACCCAUGGGGGCGGGGAGGGGCAGGAGAGGAGCGGGCCGGCCGGAGAGGGGCUCCUCUAAGCUGGCUGCAGCGCGGACGGGACCGGCGCGCUCCAGUGGCCCCCGGACCGAGAGAGUCCAACCUGUCCUGACACCCAGAGGUCUGCAGGAGAGGUGGCCACUGAAGAAGGAGGUCUCAAAGACCACAGGAGAUGAAGAACUUGGACGAAUGAGCUUAGGAGUCCCAGGAACUUGGUUUCCUUAA